rnacentral:tRNA from 1 species
GGGCCCGUAGCUUAGCCUGGCCGUAUGGACUGGGUCAUUCCAGGACGCGGGCAAUGGAGCGCACGACUGAUAAUCGUGAGGUCCCGUGUUCGAAUCACGGCGGGCCCA